GACGAACGCUGGCGGCGUGCUUAACACAUGCAAGUCGAACGGAGAAUUUAUUUCGGUAAAUUCUUAGUGGCGAACGGGUGAGUAACGCGUAGGCAACCUGCCCUUUGGAUGGGGACAACAUUCCGAAAGGAGUGCUAAUACCGAAUGUGAUCCAUUUCUCGCAUGAGAGAUGGAUGAAAGAUGGCCUCUAUUUAUAAGCUAUCGCCAAAGGAUGGGCCUGCGUCUGAUUAGUUAGUUGGUGGGGUAACGGCUCACCAAGACGAUGAUCAGUAGCCGGUCUGAGAGGAUGAACGGCCACAUUGGGACUGAGACACGGCCCAAAACUCCUACGGGAGGCAGCAGUGGGGAAUCUUCCGCAAUGGACGAAAGUCUGACGGAGCAACGCCGCGUGAGUGAUGAAGGUUUUCGGACUGUAAAACUCUGUUGUCAGGGACGAAGGUGCGAGUCUGCGAAUAGUUGAUCGUAUUGACGGUACCUGAACGAGGAAGCCACGGCUAAACG
rnacentral:rRNA from 1 species